CGGUAGAGACAUGCAGGGGAGAGGACAAGUUUGUGAUGGCGAAGCGCUUUAAAAGCUAUUUGAAUUUUUCUCAUCCUCUCAUAUCGAAGAACUUUGAUCCUAAUGAAUGUGCAUGGGCCUAUGGCAUGAACAUUUUUGAUCUGGAAGCAUGGAGAGAAACAAAUAUAAGUGAGGCAUACCACUACUGGCUCGAACAGGUUAACUACAACUCUACAAGUGACAUCAACUGUUAAUUCAAUGAAAUGCAUUUUGAACAUUAUGCAACAUUCAAGCAUUUUGUUUUAACUAGUACUCCCUCUGUCCCAAUUUAUGUGAUGAACUUUGAUUGGCCACGGAGUUCAAGAAACAUAGAAAGACUCUUGAAAUUUAUGAUUUAAAACAAGUCAGAGAUAUUUGCAUAGCUACAGAUCAUCUCGCUUAAGGUUAAAAUGGGAUGCUUAAAGUUAAAUUGCCUCUAAAUAUAGAAAGGGGAAGUAAUCUUUUGCAAUUGCUCGAAAGUACUUACUGAAAAACUCGAUGAUGAUAUAGUCUUCCUUUUCUUGUGCAGAACUUGAAGUCAGAUCUAAGUUUGUGGCAGCUAGG
rnacentral:lncRNA from 1 species